rnacentral:tRNA from 2 species
GCCGAAGUGGCGGAACUGGCAGACGCGCUACGUUCAGGGCGUAGUCCUGAGAGGGGUGAGGGUUCAAAUCCCUCCUUCGGCA